ACGUUUUGACUGUCUGCACAGUCUUUAUCAAGCAUGUAUAUGUACAUGUAUAUACAUACACAUAUCUAUAUAUAUAUAUAUAUAUAUAUACAUAUAUAUAUAUUUCCUCAUCGUCCCCUACGGCAGCACAGAAGGGUAAUGCGGUCUCCAGACCACCCACCAGGACCGCCCAUCCAGAUAUUAGCAUAAAUAAUUAUUUUAAUUAACCAAGGUACCAUACCUAUAAAACAACCCCGCAAACUCCCGCACGCUGCCCAUCUAUUCAAGAUUUUGUACAGCCCUGCAGGGUCUUGGCUGCAUCUAUGUCCGUGAGUAUAUGCCAGUGCGGGGUCCUGGCUCUGUCCUGCCACGGUCUGUCGGCGGCAUGGCAGGACUAUAGCCAGUGCGGGAUCCUGGCUUUUAGGAGGUUCCAGUGCGGGGUCCUGGUCUCCGUUAACGGCAGUGUGUUCCAGAGGAAAGAUUGCCGGUGAAGUAUCCUAGCCGUUAUACUCAUGUCUGCUGCCUGCCGCCGCCGCCUAAAGAGGGAUGCUGCGCUGCGCUGUAAGUCUCUGGACCACGGUAAGUGUCAGCCGCUCUCCGGCUUAAUUAUUAUUUGUGAUCAGGGCUUACACAUUCGUGCUCGUGAUAACCAUGAUAUAUAUUUACUUGUAAUGUACACAUUAUAACCUUUAACAUAUCGGUCUGGAGUGUCCCCAAUGACCGCGACAGAGGCCACACCUUUAGAGGGCAUGCCCUGUAAUGUAUGAAAUGAAGAAAUGAAAAGAUGGAAAAAAGAGAGGGAGGGUUGGGAGGGGUCCUCAAAAUGUCACGAACGCCACCUGAUAGGGGGCAGGGGCUAUAUAUAUAUCCCUGCCCCCGCCCACAACCCCUUAUGUGCCACCUUGAUGUGUAGGGGGGUUGGAGAUGUUACCGCCCAUAUCACAAAUACAGCCUAAUUAGGCUUUACACUUGUGAUCAGGGCUUACACAUUCCUGCUUGUGAUAACCAUGAUAUAUAUUUACUUGUAAUGUACACAUUAUAAACUUUUAACAUAUCGGUCUGGAGUGUGUCCAAUGACCGCAACGGAGGCCGCACCUUUAGAGGGCAAAAGUCAAUCUGGUAGGGAAUCAAAUGUUGUAAUCAUGACCAAUGCCCCUACCUUAGCACAAAUCCAAGAUAUAGUCCCGACAUUGAGACAGAAAAUAGGUGAAGCAAACUGACUGGCACAGGGAUCGAUGCCUGGAAACUGAAGAGUUGUGACAGUCAUGCCUCCUCUACACCGAAACCAGAGUUCGGCACUUGAACAGGGUCAGGCUAAACCCAAACCGAUAUCUGCUUGUAGCAUGCGGCCUAACCUCAUUGCAAGAGUGAAACACUAUGACCUGUCGGCCCAAUGAAUCCCAUCAUAUUCCUGCUAAUGAGUGGCAAAAUAGAAACUGUUAGCUAAAUAGGCACAACCAUCGACACCCGAUCGACCUUGGCGGUAACCGCCUUAUUGCCUGAAGAUCAACAAUAUCCGACUACCUUACCUGAAACUAAAUCAAUCCCAAUGCCCCAUUCCUAACUCCACUAGCCUCAUGAGUGGUGUCCCAUUACGAUAAACCCGCCCUAUUGCCAUUAUGUCUGACAUUACCAUUAUUGGUGAAUGCCGAAACUUCUGCUGAACCUAGUCGACGUAUAUAUCACCCUAUACAGUAACCCCCCCGAGCUGCGAUGGCCCCGACA